UUGGUUUUUCCUGUUUUUGAUUAGUGGAGGCUUUUAAUUGAGUUUAUGGGUUGCUUUUAUAGGUUUAGCUGUGCAACCAAUCUUCUUGCUCUCCAAACUCUCUUAUCCUUGAAACAACUCAACCUUGGCCGAAUUUUGGUGUCUUUUUCUUUUCUCUUUAUGCUUGGUUUUUGAGUGGAACUUGUCACCAACAAGCUUAGAGAUCCAUACCGGGCUGUAGUUCGCGGGACUUGGUGAACCCAACUCUGUAGCUCGGAGCCAGGAGAAGAUCAAGUUUAGGUCUGGGGGGUGUCAGAGAGUCGUAUUGUCUGCGUUAUCAGUAUCUUGUUAUUACCUUCUUGUGAGUGUAAGACUUGUAUUCUGAUUGUAUUUGUAAUUUGCGAACUGUUGGGUUGUA